rnacentral:misc_RNA from 1 species
GAGGCGCGGCAUCGCAUCAACUCAGGGACCUCGGCUACGGUCAAGCUCCAGCGCAACGGAGCCGAUAUUACUGGAUGGACAGGCAUCUCCGUGACGACUACCAGCACGGGCACGACGGGAACUGCGACGGCCUUGGCUGACAACGAUCUGCUUGCUUUGGUGGUUACAGCGGUGUCUGGUACUCCAAAGAAUCUGUCCUUUACUCUGGUGCUUGAGCAUACGAUCUCGUGAUUACUGCCUACGAGAAUCAGAAGUUCGAGGCGGUCAUUGCGAACGCACCUACGGGUCGGGCGGGGCUGCUGGGUAUCCAGUUGCUCGAUCCUCCUAACACGGUAGUCAUCCCGCGCACCACGGUGCCCAUCAUCGAAUCGACGGUCAGUCCCGGCACCUAUACCGCCGAGCUCGAUGCUCCAGAUCUGGGACCGACUGAACUCGAUCACUUCUACCUGAUC